UUUGUUUUUUUCCUUUCCUUUUUCAUCUACUAUUACCAUAUUUAUCUUUGUCUUUCCAUGUUUUACUUCAUUCACAAUACUAUAUCAAUUCAUCUUUUAUUCUUUUUUUCAAUCAGAUUCUUUUUUCUCUCUUCAAAUAAUUGAACUCAUUUGUUUAGAUUAAAAUCUAUGGAAACAAAGAGGUUUGACAAGCAAAUCUCAGACACUCCAACUUAAUGGAGUAGUGAUUAAGGUUUUAUUAACACCUCUCGAUUUCUUUAUCUUUUUAUUGGCUGAAGUGACAAAUUAUGAGAUAUUGUAUUGAUGAUCAUCGCUCUUGUUGAAAAUGAAAGAAGAUGUAUUUUCCCCAUUUCCAGUCACUCAUCAUCACUUUUUAUUCUUCAAUUUUGUAGGUUUGUUCAAGUUGAAGGCCAAAUAUUUAAAGAAGUAAUUUUUUUACUAUUUUGAACAACAAGUAUAAUGUAAUGGUUUUAGAAUCAAUAUGGUCUCCUUUCUACUUCAUUUUAUUUUUGUUCUUCUCA